UUGCAUGUAUGAUCUGAGAUCUAAAGCUUGAUAAGCUUACUGAUUUCCAUUUUGCGACAGCGGUGUUCGUGACGAUCCUGGCCUACCUGUACUACCACGGCAUCAUCGACCAUUCAGGCAUCUACUUCAAGGCCCCACUGUGGCAGCCUUGGCAACCAGACUGCAUCUUCCAUGAUAAUCACCAUCAGUACUUCCAUGUCAACUUCGGAUUCAACAUGGAAAUCUGGGAUAAAAUUCAUGGGACGUACAGACAGAAGAACAAGGUGUAUCGGGAAGAUAUUUUCUAUGGCAAAGGAAAAGACAUCAGCAGCUGUACGCAGUCCGAACUCAAAGAAGAUUUAAGCCAGAGAGAAUCAGAGAACGUCUUGGCCUACCGAGGUCAAGUACGGGAUGAACAGAUAGAAGAAGUCAGGCGGAAAAUCCAGUAAUGGGUUCUCAGGCAUAAUUUUGUCUGAUGGAAUGUUAACGCAAACUGCUAAGGCGCCUUUGUGUCUACCAAGCAUAUAGCCUUGGACAUAAACCGGGUUUCAAUAAUUAAUGUUCAUAUAGACUCGAGACUGUUUUAUAACACCUGUUAGUACAUUUUAAGUACCAGACAUUUCUACGUAUCUAAGACGUCCUGACAAAAUUUGAAGUUAUACCGCCAUUGCCUUCGUUAAUCCAUAUGGUGUAAGCCAGUUUAAUCCAUAGUUACUUGAAAACAAAAUGAUGUAUGUGGAAAAUCCUUCCCUUCAGAGAGUUUUAGUGCUGCGAUGUGCAUGAGUCUAAAAACUUAUUGUAUAGAAGCAGCUAGAGAGUAGUGAGUGGCCAGUUCCUUCACCAUAAGCUGCUGAAAGUAUCACAUUUUAACGCAUGCAGGCGUUACACUGAGCCACAUGUUUAAUAUGGCGAUGGUGGAUACGCGGAAAUAAUGAGAGCAUUGGUGUUUUGCCUAGCUGUAGGUAUUACUCCUCUUCAGCGAAUCAUUCGUGCUAAGAAAUCCAGAGUGAGGCUUUCAAUACACGCACACUACUGAGCUGAAAAUAUGAACAAUAUUGAUAAAUGUAUUAUCAAAUUUGAAAUAUUAAAGAGAGUUAUCA